rnacentral:misc_RNA from 1 species
GAUGAAGAACGCAGCGAAAUGCGAUAAAUAAUGUGAAUUGCAGAAUUCAGUGAAUCAUCGAGUCUUUGAACGCACAUUGCGCCCCCUGGUAUUCCGGGGGGCAUGCCUGUCCGAGCGUCAUUGCUGCCCUCAAGCACGGCUUGUGUGUUGGGCCCCCGUCCCCCCCUCCCGGGGGACGGGCCCGAAAGGCAGCGGCGGCACCGCGUCCGGUCCUCGAGCGUAUGGGGCUUUGUCACCCGCUCUGUAGGCCCGGCCGGCGCCUGCCGACCACCAUCAAUCUUUUUUCAGGGUGACCUCGGAUCAGGUAGGGAUACCCGCUGAACUUAAGCAUAUCAAUAAGCGGAGGA